rnacentral:rRNA from 1 species
UCCUUGGAACAGGACGUCAUAGAGGGUGAGAAUCCCGUAUGUGACUGGCCGCCACGCCCGUGUGAAGCUCCUUCGACGAGUCGAGUUGUUUGGGAAUGCAGCUCAAAAUGGGUGGUAAAUUUCAUCUAAAGCUAAAUAUUGGCCAGAGACCGAUAGCGCACAAGUAGAGUGAUCGAAAGAUGAAAAGCACUUUGGAAAGAGAGUCAAACAGUACGUGAAAUUGUUGAAAGGGAAGCGCUUGCAACCAGACUUGCCCGCGGGUGAUCAGCCGGUAUUCUUACCGGUGCACUCGCCCGUGGUCAGGCCAGCAUCGGUUCGGGCGGCUGGAUAAAGUCCACUGGAAUGUAGCUCCUCUCGGGGAGUGUUAUAGCCAGAGGUGCCAUGCAGCCCGCCCGGACCGAGGACCGCGCUUCGGCUAGGAUGCUGGCGUAAUGGUUGUAAGCGACCCGUCUUGAAACACGGACCAAGGAGUCUAACAUCUAUGCGAGUGUUUGGGUGUCAAACCCAUGCGCGUAAUGAAAGUGAACGGAGGUGGGAACCCUCAAGGGUGCACCAUCGACCGAUCCUGAUGUCUUCGGAUGGAUUUGAGUAAGAGCAUAGCUGUUGGGACCCGAAAGAUGGUGAACUAUGCCUGAAUAGGGUGAAGCCAGAGGAAACUCUGGUGGAGGCUCGCAGCGGUUCUGACGUGCAAAUCGAUCGUCAAAUUUGGGUAUA